rnacentral:rRNA from 1 species
ACGGAGACUGCAAGCGUUACUCGGAUUUACUGGGCGUAAAGGGUCCGUAGGCGGCCGUGUGUGUCGGGUGUGAAAUCCUGCAGCUUAACUGCAGAACUGCGCCCGAAACUAUACGGCUAGAGUAUUGGAGAGGUGAGUGGAAUUCCAGGUGUAGCGGUGAAAUGCGUAGAUAUCUGGAGGAACACCAACGGCGAAGGCAGCUCACUGGACAAUUACUGACGCUGAGGGACGAAAGCGUGGGGAGCAAAAGGG